rnacentral:rRNA from 1 species
UACAGAGGUCUCAACCGUUGUUCGGAUUCAUUGGGCGUAAAGGGUGCGUAGGCGGUCGGGUAAGUCGGAUGUGAAAUCCCAGGGCUCAACCCUGGAACUGCAUUCGAUACUGCCUGGCUAGGGUACUGGAGAGGAGACUGGAAUUUACGGUGUAGCGGUGAAAUGCGCAGAUAUCAGGAGGAGCACCGGUGGCGAAGGCGGGUCUCUGGGCCGAUACUGACGCUGAGGAGCGAAAGCGUGGGGAGCGAACAGG